AAACAGUCCCCUUGCCUAUUUGACUCCCAUGACUUUUAACUAAGAAUCACUUAAUACUGCAGAGGAGGAGGGAGAAAAUUAGCAAAUAUAAAGAACUUUCUAUUUAAAAGCAUUCCUCCUUAUACUGAAAUGGGAAGGAUUAAGUAAAUACAUCUGAAUCUCUAGAGAUGUGAUUUAUUAUCUUCUUAGUUGAGAGUGAAUAUUUAAUUGUAUAACAUUUAUCUCCGAUAGUGCCUCCUGGAAAAAAAAAAUCCAAAUUAGGUCAAAGUGCAUAUUCUAAACACUCCAAAGGGAAAUAAAUGUGUUUCAUAGCAUUCUUUAUUUUUUAAUGAAAAAAUAUUAGUAAAAAAAAAAUCAAGUCAAAAUAAUUGCUAUAUUUGGUCAUUAACUUUUGAGCUGAAAAACAUCCUUUUUAUGUAAAAUACGUCACAUAGGCUCUUCCUCAAUGUAGUAAGACGCACUUACUGAUAUCACCUUUUAACCCAGGACAAAUGAGUUUUUUCAAAUUUUUUAAAAAAUAUUAUUUUUAAAAUAACCUUCAGUCAUCAUUACCUGAGACAUCCAAUACAGUAAGCCCAAAUCCUGCCCCUGUCACCGAGUCACCAGAAUUGAUCAUUAAUAAGUGUAGUUAGUUAAGUACAGAUUAGGUAGGUGCUACCAUCCACACACCCACAAUUACAUCACAGCAUGAUGGCCAAUUAGCUUCAACCUGGGUAGUGAACCUUAUUCCUCACAACUCCAUGCUCAACUGCAAAACAGCUGCUUCCUUAUUCCUACCUACUGCUCUCCGCCGUCAUUCUGCACCAGCCCACUGGGCAGAGCAGGCCCUAAAGAAGGUCUGGCUAAUUUAAAGGCAGCGGGAGUCCUCCACGCUGUCGCGCUCUGCUUGGGACGGAAAUGUCUCGUGUCUACCUCUGUCUAUGACAUACGCAUUUUAAAAUGAAACCACAGCAGGGCUGUCCAAUUACAAAAAGACAGUAUGUGUUUAGACACCUAAAUUAAAACUUGCUCAGGAACCAUGCUACGUGGCUAAUUGGACACCGCUUUUGGAUCACAUGAGGACAAAUGAGAGGAAGUUAACGUUCAUUCGCACAGACAUUCAGGAACGUUUUAGAACCCGUGGUCAAAAAUAAAACCACUGUCACAGCGAAGAGGAGCUGCCAUAAACUGAAUUGUGUGCCUAUCCGGAUUCCCACGUUGAAGCCCUAAUUCCCAAGGUGACAUAUGUGGACACAGGGCCUUUCCGAGACAAUCAGGUUUCUGUGAGGACACGGGGGUGGGACCCUGCUGAUGGCAUCGGUGCCUUUAUACAAAGACACACUGAGAGCAUGGCCGCUCUCUCACACUCCCCUCCCUGCUUUAUGAAGACACAGGGAGAACGCCGCAGACCUCCCCAGAACCUGACCACCCUGCCACCUUGACCUUGGACUUCCAGCCUCUAGAACUGGGAGAAAAUAAAUCUGUUAUUUAGGCCACACAGUUUGCAGUAUUUUUGUUAUGUCAGCCCAAGCUAAAAGGAGUCUAAGGAGAUACGAAGCCUAAAUGUUACGUGGCAUCCCAGGUGAGAAAAAAGAUAUGAGGUCAAAACUAGGGAAACCUGAGAAAUAUAUGGGUUUUAGCUAAUAAUAAUGUCACUAUUGGCCCACUAAUUACAACAAAUGUACCAUACUAAUGUGAAGAUCAAAAUUAAGUAAGAUUCACUGCAGGUUAUAUGGGAACUUUCUAUAUAUUUUCCCAAUUUUUCUGCAAAUCUGAAACCAUUCUAAAAUAUAAAAUUUAUUUAAAAUACAUACAUAAGUAAAAUAUAUAUCUUCAACCUCCCCUAAAACAAUCCAUCAUAUCACUUCUUUAUUUUUACUGUAAAAGACUUUCUGUUCUUAGCAGUUCAGAAUAAAUCAUUACAUAUUAACAACAGCAAAAAAGUCUCCAUAAGCAUUGUCUAAGUUAUUAUUUAUAGAACCUGAGAUUGCACUUUGUUCUUAAGGUCUCUUAAUAUAUAUAUAUAAUUGAAUAAGAAGAACCUCCUGGAAUUUAAUAUCACCAUCGUUAAUACCAAACAAUUACAGCUUCUUGAAAAUACAGAGGGCACACACAGGGAAGCACAACUUACUAAAAAAAAUUGUCCCAUUUCUCUAAUAAAAGAAUUGUAAAUGACAUCAAUAAAAUAAUUUUUUUGCAUGUAAGAUUUCUUAAAAAUGUAAGGGAAUAUUUAGAAUGGCCAGGAAGUGACAAAUUGGGUGCUUUCAUAUGUGUGGGCAGCUAACACAUACCAGGUCUGUCUGGAAAAACUCCACCCACUGUUAAUAU